UUAUGCAAUUGAUGGCGUGUUAUCAAGAAGCAUCCUCGCUUUUUAGCGUGUUAUUCUACGCCGUUUGGCCUCCCUUGACUUACAUCACCUUGCAAUAGCGUGUGAAUUUACGCCGUAGCGAGUAGUAUGAAAGGGCGAAAAUCUGCGUAGGGAAUUUGGUCGGGAGGGUGAAUGGGGAUGAAGCAAACACAGGCU